rnacentral:rRNA from 1 species
GUGGGGAAUAUUGGACAAUGGGCGAAAGCCUGAUCCAGCCAUGCCGCGUGUGUGAAGAAGGUCUUCGGAUUGUAAAGCACUUUAAGUUGGGAGGAAGGGCAGUAAGUUAAUACCUUGCUGUUUUGACGUUACCGACAGAAUAAGCACCGGCUAACUUCGUGCCAGCAGCCGCGGUAAUACGAAGGGUGCAAGCGUUAAUCGGAAUUACUGGGCGUAAAGCGCGCGUAGGUGGUUUUGUAAGUUGGAGGUGAAAUCCCCGGGCUCAACCUGGGAACUGCCUCCACAACUGCAUGACUAGAGUACGGUAGAGGGUAGUGGAAUUUCCUGUGUAGCGGUGAAAUGCGUAGAUAUAGGAAGGAACACCAGUGGCGAAGGCGACUACCUGGACUGAUACUGACACUGAGGUGCGAAAGCGUGGGGAGCAAACAGGAUUAGAUACCCCAGUAGUCC